UCAAGGGGCGGGCGACGGGAGCCCCACCCUGGGAGGCUGGCAGCUCAGGAGUCCAUUCCCGCUUGCUCUCCUCCAACCCACCUCAAAGAGAAAGAAACUGAGGCCCAUAACGACUAAAUCAUUUCUUCAACCCUUUUAGGCAAUCCCGUGGCAAAGCCCGCAUUAGAACUCAAACCCCGGGACCUUCAAUUCAGUGUGCUUCCGCGAACGUGCUAACACCAAUAAGCUCAGGCUUGAAAAUCAGGUUCCCUAGUGAACAAGCUGGGAUAGGAUGGUGUGUCAGGACACGAGCCCAGGACGGACACUCCCCACCGCUCCCAGGGAAAGGAAUUUCUCCUCAGUCCAGCUAUCUUUCAGGGACACUCAGGUUUUGCAAUCAUCGGACUCAGCAAAGGGCAAGGGAAGCAGGAAUCCUUCCGCCCAACGAGCCCAGGUGCAGCGAUCACCACCACCAACCCGUGAUUGUACAACAGGUCCCUGUUUGUAAAGCUCGUCCUAAGUCA